rnacentral:rRNA from 1 species
UACAGAGGGGGCAAGCGUUAUUCGGAAUUAUUGGGCGUAAAGAGCGUGUAGGUGGUUCGUUGUGUCUGUGGUGAAAGCCCCGGGCUUAACCUGGGAAUGGCCAUGGAAACUGGCGAGCUGGAGUGUGGCAGAGGAGGGUGGAAUUCCGCGUGUAGCAGUGAAAUGCGUAGAGAUGCGGAGGAACACCGAUGGCGAAGGCAGCCCUCUGGGCUAACGCUGACGCUGAGGCACGAAAGCGUGGGGAGCAAACAGG